GUGAGGAAUAUUGCGCAAUGGGGGAAACCCUGACGCAGCGACGCCGCGUGGGUGACGAAGGCCUUCGGGUCGUAAAACCCUUUUGGCAGGGACGAGUGAGGACGGUACCUGCAGAAUAAGUCUCGGCUAACUACGUGCCAGCAGCCGCGGUAAAACGUAGGAGGCGAGCGUUAUCCGGAUUUACUGGGCGUAAGGCGCGCGUAGGCGGUUUGUCAAGUCGGAUGUGAAAGCCCCUGGCUCAACUGGGGGAGGCCAUUCGAUACUGACCGGCUUGAGGGUGAGAGAGGGGAGUGGAAUUCCCGGUGUAGCGGUGGAAUGCGUAGAGAUCGGGAGGAACACCAGUGGCGAAAGCGGCUCCCUGGCUCACUCCUGACGCUGAGUGCGCGACAGCGUGGGGAGCAAACGGGAUUAGAAACCCCAGUAGUCC
rnacentral:rRNA from 1 species